CUACCUGUUCUGGCCCACAUCUCAGUGCACCCACUCAAUGGGCCCAGUCUAAUCCCCUGAUAUCACUGCCUGCUCAGUACAGGCCCUGCCUGGUUGUUCUUGUAGCCCCGAGCCUUGGAGACCCAAUUUAGGAUCCCAUGCCUCACAACCUGUCCUUCUCUCAGCCUCCUCCCUCCUUCAGCUCACAGUUCAUAUCUGAGACACUCCAGGCCCAAUCCGAUGCUGGGGACCAAUGUCUAGGCUCUGUCCUGGCCUUGCUGUGUGACCCCAGGAAAUGCGGUUUGGUAUCAGAUCACAUGUUUGGUGGUCUGCCCAACUAGACCACACCUGGGAUGAAGGGACCUGACCAGCCUUAUUAUUUAUCCCAGAGCCAGCCUCCAGCCCCCCUCUGCCUGCUGACCCUUCUGCUGCCACCCCUCAGUCCAGGGGCCCCCAUCUCCCCAGCUGAGCCUAUCAAUCAAGCCUACAGCCUGGCCCUCU